rnacentral:misc_RNA from 1 species
GAAUGUAACACUUUCAAUUCAGUUAUAGAUCUGGUUUGAUUUUAUUUAAUAUAUUGGAUAUUUUGCUCUUUGAUCCAAUCUCUUGUAUUCCUAACACAUGCUAUGUGUUGAGCUUCAUUUCUUAUUGAUUUUAGAUAUUAAUUGAAGGACUAAAUUGUGAAAAUUAAUAUAGAAAUAACGGGAUUUUGAACUUGAGAUUCUUAAUCUAGAGAUAGACUGUAAUUCUAUGUGAAUCUAGCAAUUAAUUAAAGAAUUUAAUGAAUUUUAAUUGAUUUAAUCACCA